rnacentral:lncRNA from 1 species
GACACAGCGGCGCCACCCCACCUCGUUCCCCAACAACCUCAACACCGGAAGAGAAAACCCAGGCGAGGCCCCCUUGGGCUGAAUGCACUCGGCUCUGAGGAAACCUCCGGCAUCCAGCACCUCAUUCCAGGCCGGGGUCUGCAGACCAGCACGUGGGAACGGCGGCAUCCAGCACCUCAUUCCAGGCGGAAGUCUGCAGACCAGCACGCGGAACAGUGGGGCUUCCACCUGAGCACCACACACCUCCUUGGCACAACCCCUCUGAACCGAUUUUCCCGAGUCCCUCCAGUGACAAGAAGCUCACCACUAUCCAGGUAAUUACGUCUGUAUUAAGGGAAAAAGCCUAAAGGGGUGUCUUGGACAGCGGCUGGGGCUACGUAUCGGAACUGGUAGAUGGCUGGGUGCUGGGGGCCAGCAGUGAAGGCGACGGCACAGAACAGGCCACCCCAGUGCAGCCCCAAAGGCACGGGGGCAGCAGCAGAUGCGAGAAGGGUGCUCUAGCCUCCCCUUUCUUCCUGCAAGCAGAUGAAACCCCACGUGAAACACGCCCUCCUCGUAGAGGAAGAGGACGUGCUCAUCACCAGCACCGGGAGCUGAGGCUGAGAGACAGCUGCACACACCAACCCUUAUCUCCCUCAGCCUCCCCAAGGAUUUUAGUUACUUUUUCACAGUUGCUAUUCUUGGGCAUAGAAGCCCUCAGGUCUAACUGCUUCAGGAGGCCUUCACUUUCUGAAGUCUCCCAUGUACCUGUAAAAAUAACAUUUGUGGCCGUGCGCAGCGGCUCACACCUGUAAUCCCAGCACACUGGGAGGCCGAGGCGGGUGGAUCACGAGAUCGAGACCAUCCUGGCUAACACAGUGAAACCCCAUCUCUACUAAAAAUACAAAAAUUAGCCGGGAGUGGUGGCGGGCGCCUGUAGUCCCAGCUACUCGGGAGGCUGAGGCAGGAGAAUGGCGUGAACCCGGGAGGCGGAGCUUGCAGUGAGCCGAGAUCACGCCACUGCACUCCAGCCUGGGCGACAAAGUGAGACUCCGUCUCAAAAAAAUAAAAUAACAUUCGUAAGCUUUUCUCCUGUUAUUCUAUGUCAACCUAAUUCUCAGACUCUGCCAGAGACCCAAGGAGGGAAGCCACUGCACGCAGCCUAAUGUUCAGGAAUUACAUAGUGGUGAUGAUUACACAACUUUGUGAAUAUAUUAAAAACCAGUGAAUUGUACAUUUUAAAAAAGCAAAUGUUGGCCGGGCACGGUGGCUCACGCCUGUAAUCCCAACACUUUGGGAG